rnacentral:rRNA from 1 species
ACUCAAAGGAAUAGACGGGGGCCCGCACAAGCGGAGGAACAUGUGGUUUAAUUCGAUGAUACGCGAGGAACCUUACCCGGGCUUGAAUUGCAUAUGAGUAUAGUGGAAACAUUAUAGCCGCAAGGCAUAUGUGAAGGUGCUGCAUGGUUGUCGUCAGCUCGUGCCGUGAGGUGUCGGCUUAAGUGCCAUAACGAGCGCAACCCUUGUCUCUAGUUACCAUCGGGUCAUGCCGGGGACUCUAGAGAGACUGCCGUCGUAAGAUGCGAGGAAGGCGGGGAUGACGUCAAAUCAGCACGGCCCUUACGUCCGGGGCUACACACGUGUUACAAUGGGGGGUACAGCAGGUCGCUACCUGGCAACAGGAUGCUAAUCCGUAAAACCUCUCUCAGUUCGGAUCGAAGUCUGCAACCCGACUUCGUGAAGCUGGAUUCGCUAGUAAUCGCGCAUCAGCCACGGCGCGGUGAAUACGUUCCCGGGCCUUGUACACACCGCCCGU